GCAGCUGGACUGCCCUGGCGCACUCCCGCCCUGGCGCACUCCCGCCCUGGCGCACUCCCGCCCCGGCGCACUCCAGUCCCGGCGCACUCCCGUGCCGGCGCACCCUGCUCCCCGGCGCGUACCCAGGGGCCAUGAUUUUGGCUAGGCGAAGGCUGCCCGCUCCCGCCUCUAAAGCAGUGACAAGGAGUCUGACUCAUCCUCCUGCACCUCUUUUCAAUUACUGACUUAAACCAGAUUACAGUUGCUCUCAGGCGUGAAGACUGAGACUUACUAAUAUGUGUAUUCCAGAAGUACCUGACACAGUAACACAGUG